CCUUUCUUUCUUUCUUUCUAUCUAUCUAUCUAUCUUUUCUGUCUAUCUAUCUAUACAUAUAUGUCAUAAAAAUAAUUAAACUUUUCCUUGCAUCAAAACAAAACAUGGAACCUACCUAAUCAAUUACACCAAAGCCUGAAUCCAAUAUCCCCUUAGCAAAAUAUAGCAGUCAAUAAAUCAUAUAAACAAGCAGGAAACAAAUAAGAGCUUAAUUUAAGACAUUAAUAUGAUGCUAAAUUUUCUAGCGUUUCACCCAUUAUAUAAAGAAUGGACAAGGAGGCAUUGCCACACACAACUAAAACAUAAUACCGAUAAACACAAGGAAAUUAAGCUAGAGUCAGCUCUCUCAGCUCUGAUGGCACUUCUCAACAAGGAUGCCAAAGCUCUGUGCUUUGCAGCCCUUAUCGUGAUGGCUAUGAUAUUCUCGUCUUGUGAAGCAGGAGGCAAUAGGUGCCAUGCUUUCCCAGGAUGUGACUCGAUACUGUGCUGGGCGGAAUGUGACAGGCUAGGGUACAGCAACCCUAAGCCACGCUGCCUUUAUCCCAAGCCUAACCAUGAUGGCGAUGAAUGUUGUUGUUAGGCUAAAAAAAACCUGGGUGUGUGUGUGUGUGUGCCCCUUUGUUGAAACGGUGUAUCAGUUUCAUGCAAGGUGGUGUGUGUGUGUCUCACCGCCAACUAUGGAUGUUGGUCAACUAUGAAUAAGAACAAUAAUUUGUGAUGCUUAUA